rnacentral:lncRNA from 1 species
AUGUUGAAGCGCAGCCGGCAGUCAGGGGGCGGCCUCGGGGCGCUAUCGCGCCCCCCGAAGGGCUCCCACCACAGCAGCACGCCCACCGGUCGCGACGGGGUUGGCGACGCCCAGGGCAGCGGCGGCAGCUGCCCCCAGCAAGCGUAGGUGAUCAGCGCCGUACACGUCAAGCCGGCGGCCGCCAGCACACAGACGGUCCAUGGCAGCCCCCGGCCUCGGCGCCACCCGCGCCGCCCGCCCGCCGCCGCCGUCGGCGAGCCCCACGGUGCCCCCAUGGCGCGAACAGGCAGCGCUGCCUCCGCUCGCCACGCGUCCGCAGGCGUGGAGGAGCGGCACCGGCUCUCAUGCUGUAGCUGCGGCUCCAGCCGUCGCUGCCGCUCGCCGCUGGCCCGGGAAUGGAAGGGGGCGGUCCCAGAAUGCAAAGGCCGCGGGCCCUGCCCUGCUCCUCCCAAGUGCCGGGCGGGGCGAGCCGCCAGGGCAAGGUGAGCUGGCCAGGACGCCCAACCGGGCACCGCCCGUCCCUUUCUUCCACUGCGCCCGGGGCCCAGCCGGCCCGACCAGGCCCCGGGAGCCUCCUGCGGCGCCUCCGCCCACUCCUUCUCCCAGCCCGCGCCCGAGGGCUUCCGGGCCGCGCCCCACAAGCGCCUCAUCCGCUACUCUUGAUUCUCUCUCAACUGAUCCGGUUUCCCUCUGCGCGCGCCCACCGCCCUGGCCCUCGCUCACUGUGGCCCGAACCCUCGCCUUCCAGAGGGAAGGCCCGGUUCAUCCCUGGGAAGGUACAGGAGGCUCGAGACCUUCUAAAGCAGCUGCCGCGCAGGAGCAGGCCCUAGAACAGACGGAAGGCGGACCCGGCGCCGCGGAACGGAGGAUAGCGUCGGCUUCCUGCCGUUGGGCCUAGCCACCCGCCAGCGACGCCCGCCGGAGGGAGGGAUUGAGGGAGGGAGGGAGUCCAGAGGCCGGGGGAACGUGCGAGCAGAGGCGCGGCCACCGCAUCCGUGGCCAGGAUCUCGUGGCCCGCCGAGACGGUCGAAUUGUGGAGGCAGCCCGCAGCGGCGUGGCCUUCAGAGUCUCUGCAUUUGGUGAAGAACUUAAGUUUUCAAUGUGAGUGCUCAUAAGAACAUUUCCUUUGCCUGCCAGCCCAGUAAAGGAUAGAGAACAAAAUGUUUUCUUAGCAAUCAAAACAUGUUCUUUCCUUUGGUCCCCUACCAAAUAAGUCUGACUUGCCGGCUCAUAGUAGUAUUGCUUGUACCAAGACGCACAGGACUCAUAAACCAAAGAUGAAGAUGUGACCCCCCCAAGGCCCUUGUCGUCAAGGAAUUUAUUGCCUGUUCAGUGAGAUGAAUGAAUGAAUAUCACUAUUAAUUUUACCAAGCACUUAAAAAACAUUUUCUGCACCCAUGAAAGUUAUGCAAAAUAGUUUGGAUGAUAAAAUGAUGACGAAGAUAAAUAUUCUAGCACCCAAGUUAAGGGUGUAAAGACAGUAUCGCACUGGCCUCUUCUACCUUAUUAGGCGACACUGGAGACAUCUACGUCUACAGUCACUUGAGAAAUUUUUUACCUACGGGUUGAAUUUGAAUUUCUGGGUGUUCGCUUUGGUUUAUGAUAUUCAACUUUUAUUCAGGGGAUUUCCAAAUAGAUCAGGGGCGGGGCUGCUGACCUAAGGAGAGGAGAAAGUUUUGAGAGAAGUUUUAGUAGAUCACAGCUGUGCAUCAGUGGAGUCCCACUGAUACUAGGGGAGAAAUAGACAGUGCUGGGAAUGGGGCAAUCCUGCCAGGUGUUUUUGAUGUUAUGCCUACAGAAAAUAAAUUUGCGUUAGCCA